AGAGGAUGGCAGCAGAGCACAGAAUGUGACAAUGGCAGCAGCAGGUGGCCCUUCAGAAAAGGCCAGAUCCCCCUCUCUGUGAUUACUGCCAUCCAUCUGCAGGCAGACAGGCCCUGGGCAACUCUGCUCCUAGGGGGUACUGUCCUCUCUUUGUGGACACAAGUGAGGACAGAAAGGCAGUCAUGGCACCAGAAAACUUAUUUAAAAUGCAAAUCCAGACAUCUCCCGCCAGCCCUGUGACUCAGAAACUCUGGGGUAGGUCCAGCAGUCCGUGUGAACAAGCUUGGCAGGUGAAUCCUGCAAAGGCGAGUUGAGGCCCACGGGCUUGAACAGUCUGCAAUCCUCCACACUUUCGUCUUUCAACCUACUUGGGCAUCAUCAGGUCAGCCAUCAGCAGGGAUCACAUACUCGCACAGGGGGAAGAGGCAUAAGACCUUCCUGUCCAGUUUCUUCCUGGUUAAGCCUGCUGUCAUCCCUCCCUAAUGAUGCUGCUGGACCCACCAAGCUCAGCCCUUUGCAUGAUGAACCAACCAGGAACACCAGUUCUGCUUUCUGCAACCGUUUACAAUUUUCUUCCUCUUGUACACACUAGCAGUCAGUGAAAUGUUGCUCCCUAAUUCCCCUGUCUCCAGGGUAAACAUCUAUAACUUCCUUUGUAGUUCUGAUAUAACAAGGUUUCUAGUUGACCCUGCAGGAUCCCUCCCUGCCUAUGAUCAAACAAGACCACCAGAAGCUUGGAAGAAAAUAUCCCAGCCAUAUUUGGCUUGCACAGAGCAUGGGAGCUGUGGCCCCCGGCUGCCUGGAUACUAGGAACAGCCCUCAAGGACACUUUGUUCUGCUACAGUCACAUCACCUGGUCCAUACAGCAAAAUGCCCUGGUCUUUUAAAUAAUGCUGUAAUUAAAGUCCUCUUCUAUUU
rnacentral:lncRNA from 1 species